rnacentral:rRNA from 1 species
UAGGGAAUCUUCGGCAAUGGACGAAAGUCUGACCGAGCAACGCCGCGUGAGUGAAGAAGGUUUUCGGAUCGUAAAACUCUGUUGUUAGAGAAGAACAAGGACGUUAGUAACUGAACGUCCCCUGACGGUAUCUAACCAGAAAGCCACGGCUAACUACGUGCCAGCAGCCGCGGUAAUACGUAGGUGGCAAGCGUUGUCCGGAUUUAUUGGUCGUAAAGCGAGCGCAGGCGGUUUCUUAAGUCUGAUGUGAACACCCCCGGCUAAACCGGGGAGGGUAAUUGGAAACUGGGCGACUUGAGUGCAGAAGAGGAGAGUGGAAUUCCAUGUGUAGCGGUGAAAUGCGUAGAGAUAUGGAGGAACACCAGAGGCGAAGGCGGCUCUAUGGUCUGUAACUGACGCUGAGGCUAGAAAGCGUGGGGAGCAAACAGG